CAACAGGUUGAACUUAUUUUCCUCAGCUGAUGUUCUGGUUGUAUCAUCAAUUGCCAUAAAGUACAUCUAAAGCACCUUCCAGAAGCCUGAUGCGAGGUUGAUGGCGACUGGUGGCUGCCACAUCGCCAAAGGUGGAAGGAUAAUCAACAGAUAGGAUGAAGAUGGCUGAAGUCAAUCGUUCAUCUGGACAUCCUCAAGAGAAGCUUUCAUCGGAGGAUUAGUUCUUGAAGACAAGNGCAUAA